GGGAGGGAUGAUCAUGAAAGACAUGACAGCGAAAGAGAAGAAGUGCUCGCAAAAAUAACUUCGGAGGCGUCGUCGUUUUAAACUUUCGUACUGGACAGUGAACACUAUACAAACACCGUUAUCCUAACCAACAUCAACAGAUACAUGACAAGUAACAAGCACUCUGAUUCGCUGAGCCAUUUUAAGCGACCAAUCAGAUUCAUUCAAUCCACAGACUCGUCGCCGACAACACGUGCAGUCAGCAGUUUCAAUAUGAGUGACCCCGAGAUCAAGCAGCUGACUGACCAGUUAAGUCUUAUCCAGCAUCCCGAGGGGGGAGCGUUCCGGGAGAUGUGGAGAGGGGAAAGAAUGGUCAAUUUCACAGAGAAG